rnacentral:rRNA from 1 species
AUAGCUGGUUCUCCUCGAAAUAGCUUUAGGGCUAGCCUCGCAUUAGUUUACCGGAGGUAGAGCACUGAAUGGUCUAGGGGGCCUCACCGCCUACCGAAACCUAUCAAACUGCGAAUGCCGGAUAAAUGAUGUGCGGGAGUCAGGCCGCGAGAGAUAAGUUCCGCGGUCAAAAGGGGAACACCCCAGAUCGUCUGCUAAGGUCCCCAAGUACGCGUUAAGUGGGAAAGGAUGUUGGAUUGCACAGACAACCAGGAUGUUGGCUUAGAAGCAGCCACACAUUCAAAGAGUGCGUAAUAGCUCACUGGUCGAGUGAUCCAGCGCCGAAAAUGUAACGGGGCUAAAACGCGACACCGAAGCAGCGGGAUGCGUAAGCAUCGGUAGAGGAGCAUUGUGUGAGGGUUGAAGCCAGAGCGGGAGCACUGGUGGACUUCACAGAAGAGAGAAUGCCGGUAUGAGUAGCGAGACCCAUGCGAGAAACAUGGGCGUCGAAGGCCCAAGGUUUCCUGGGGAAGGUUCAUCCACCCAGGGUAAGUCGGGACCUAAGCCGAGGACUGAGGUCGUAGGCGAUGGACAGCAGGUAGAGAUUCCUGCACCACUUAUACUUGUUUGACGAAGCAGUGACACAGAAGGAUAGGACGAGCGCGGUGAUGGUCAACCGCGUAGGCGGCACGAGGCCGGGAAGCAGUGAAGUACACUUCCCGCAAAGGCUGAGUGUUGACAGGACCGAAAAGAAGUAGGGAAGCGUCCGAGUUCACGCUGGCGAGAAAAGCUGCUAAGGAGAGUGUGAGUGCCCGUACCGGAAACCGACGCAGGUGGGCGAGGAGAGAAUCCUGAGACGGACGGGAGAACUCUUGUUAAGGAACUCGGCAAAAUGACCCCGUAACUUCGGGAGAAGGGGUGCCACAGAGAUGUGGCCGCAGAGAAUAGUCACAAGCGACUGUUUAGCAAAAACACAGGUAUCUGCGAAAGCGAGAGCUGACGUAUAGGUGCUGACGCCUGCCCGGUGCUGGAAGGUUAAGGGGAAGUGUUAGGGGAAACCCGAAGCAGAGAACCGAAGCCCCAGUAAACGGCGGCCGUAACUAUAACGGUCCUAAGGUAGCGAAAUUCCUUGUCGGGUAAGUUCCGACCCGCACGAAUGGUGUAACGACUUGGGAGCUGUCUCAACAAGUGGCCCGGUGAAAUUGAAGUAUGUGUGAAGAUGCACAUUACCCGCGACUGGACGGAAAGACCCCGUAGAGCUUUACUGUAACCUGACAUUGGAUCUUGAUAACGGAUGCACAGGAUAGGUGGGACGCUGGGAGACGAGGACUUUGGUUUUCGUGGAGCGGCCGUUGGGAUACCACUCUUCUGUUAUUGAGAUUCUAACCUCAAGCCGUGAGCCGGAUGAGAGACAGUGUCAGGCGGACAGUUUGACUGGGGCGGUCGCCUCCGAAAGAGUAACGGAGGCGCCCAAAGGUACCCUCAGAAUGGAUGGAAACCAUUCGAAGAGAGCAAAGUCAGAAGGGUGCUUGACUGCGAGACCAACAAGUCGAGCAGGUACGAAAGUAGGGCUUAGUGAUCCGGCGGUAAGAGAGUGGAAUUGCCGUCGCUCAACGGAUAAAAGCUACCUCGGGGAUAACAGGCUGAUCUCCCCCAAGAGUUCACAUCGACGGG